rnacentral:rRNA from 1 species
UACAGAGGUCUCAAGCGUUGUUCGGAUUCAUUGGGCGUAAAGGGUGUGUAGGUGGCGCGCUAAGUCGGGUGUGAAAUUUCGGAGCUUAACGCCGAAACUGCAUUCGAUACUGGCGUGCUUGAGGACUGGAGAGGAGACUGGAAUUCAUGGUGUAGCAGUGAAAUGCGUAGAGAUCAUGAGGAAGACCAGUGGCGAAGGCGGGUCUCUGGACAGUUCCUGACACUGAGACACGAAGGCCAGGGGAGCAAACGGG